rnacentral:misc_RNA from 1 species
CUCUCUGUCUCUCUGUCUCUCUCUGCGUUUAAAUGAUAUAAAUGAUUGAGGAACAACCAUACAUUGACUAUUAAGAACCGUCAAUAAUUCAUAAUCAAAUAUAAUAAAUAUUUAAAUAUAGAAUGAAGAAAGCAAGUUCCUUGCUUUGGGUAGAAACUUCAACUAGAAACAAUAAGUUGACUUUGAAAACACAUCCUAGGGGAAUCAUGGAUCUAUAAAUAUUGAUGGGUUAUUUAUUGAUCUCCAUGAAUUUGCUACAUCACUCUCUGUUUUUUCAAGAAACAGAUGGACAAUCAUACACACAUAAAAAAUACACAUUAGAGGCCCUAUGGCCUCCUUGUUUAAUUGGUUUAUCGAUUGAUUAUUACCUACUAUAGAUUUGACAAAGAUAAAGAAAAGAGAACUCCGGGCUUAUACAUGACACAGGAGAGGAAGUCAUUAUUAAUCUUCAACAGUAUUGGACCCAGAUCUGCUGUCUUGUUAAUUGCCUCAGAUAUGAUUUUCUUGGUAUCAGACUCUGCUGCAAAGAGAGGUACGUUUCACUCCAAGAAAGAGCCCACAGCAGGAGGGCUAUAUAGAAUUUUCAGAUAGUGUAUUUGGUACUAAAACAACUCGAAAACAGGUUUUUAUCAAAAAAAGAGAAUAAGAAGACUCAGCAUAACUUGUUUAAAUGUUCAAUAAAGUACAUUAUCAUUGCGUGGUAUUGAUACACAAACAAUUGUCUUCACAAACAAUUGUCUUCUAUUAUUCAUCUGUAUAGAAAAACCACAAAAUUCUACAUCAUGAAGAAGAAGAAGACUAAAUAUUCAUGAAGAUAUAAAGAUAAUUUGAGUAUUCACAAACUAACAAAAACUAAAUUGAAGCUUUAAUACAUAAAAUGCAAAUCUUGGAAGGAAUUGGUGCAAAGAGUCCAGGAAGUCACUUCUAUACAUGUCUAUACCACCUUAAACAGGCUUAUUUGUAGGUUCCCAUACCCAAACCAGUGUCUCCACCGUAUGGCUGGAAGCUGUCUCUGGCCUUGGAGUAGCAAAUGUAGUAGAACUCAGAAACUAUAGCAGUGAAGAAAGUAAAAGCUGCUCCUGCCCCAAAAACUCCCUUCCUCAAAGUCUGGCAGUCAGGAGGAUUGUCACUGAAAAUAGUCCUGUACUUGGUGUGAUAGGCAUUCCUCACCGAACCCGCCAACAAGCAUACCUCAGCGAUGAAGAAAAACACCCUGAUAAAGAAAAUUGCAGAGGUUCAAAAAUAAUAACACAUUGCAAGAAUUAGACCUUAAAAACUUUUAGAUUUGAACAUUGGGUAUGGUCAAAUACCAGCAAGUAAUGAAGAGGAUAACUGCCCAAGCCCUCGAACCUCCAGGAUUCAAAGGCUUGCCACAGCAGAAACAUUGACUUGCCACCAUUAUAAGGGCUUGACUGGCCAUGAGAAACAAAAAUGCACCAACACCAUAGCCAGUUGCAAUGUCUGAGUCAUAGACACAGUAAUUGUAAUUUAUUUCAGAAUCCUGCUUGAUUAUGGCCUGCAAAACAAUAUAUUAUUAAUUGUCUAAUUCGUCAAGAAUUAGCUCCUCAGCUGCUGGUAAUUGAUCAAUAACAGGAGACCCAAAUCAAUUGUCUAUUCUUGAAUAUAACUGGAGAGAAAGUACAGGCAUCAAAAAAAAAAAAAAAGAAAUUAUAGCUGUUUGCAGUGGUUAAAGUGUUGGAUAUUAACAUGUUAAAUAAACGAUAAUAAUUUUAUUAACCAACAAUCAUCAUGGGAAGAUGCGCUAAUUUCCAUGCUUAGAGAUAGCUAUACAGUCCUGAUUAUAAAAAAAUCAAUCUGCCAGAACAAUUUUCUUCAUUAUAUCAGUAGAUCUGGUAACCUAACUGUAUAUUAAGCAAUCUGCAAGAAAAAGUUUCUUCACUGGAACCUUGUUUAAUCCGUAGAUCUGGAAACUUAAUUUCAAACAUUUAAGAACCACCCCUCCUGGACCUAAAUCAUUAAAACAGGCCCUAAAGGGUUCGGUUUAAGAUCUCUGGUUCUUUGGACCAAAACCGACUCGGAGUAGGCCCGUGGCAUAUGACUAAGCUGUACCAGUGCACUUUUCCUGCCAUUAGUGUUGUCAAGAAAAUCCCGGAAGAGAUAUGCAAGUAUAAAUCUUCAAUGAUGUGUUAAAAGAGCUGUCCUGGUUAUUCCAAAGUGAAAAACGCAUUUUCUCUAACUGAAAAUAUAAGGAGAGAAAUCAAGAAUUCAUUUUCAAUUAGUCUAAAAGUUCAAUCAAGAUUCAUUCACAUUUCCCUUUCAGCACAAUUUCCUAAACCCAGAAACCAUUUAGUAUUUUUUUUCUCUUUUCAUGUAUUAAAUUUCCCCCUAUUUCUUUCUGUUUUCUUGGAAGCCAAAUAGACCCCAUAAGAAGAAUCACAUAAAAUUCAAGAAACCAUAAACAUAAAAUACUUACUGUGCUUCUUCUCUGCUCAGCUGCAACAGCCAAACCGAAGGCAAUGAGAUCUAAAACGAAGACCGUAAUUAAUAACAGUUUUGAAGCCAUAGCUAUAUAUGAAGUUCGACUACGUCCACAGAUCUCUCUGUUCUUGAUUCCUCUCACCCCUUCUCUCCCUCUGAAGAAGAGUCAAAACUGUAUCUGUGUAAACUCUCUCUUCUCUAAAUAUAACAGUGCAAGUGCAAGCAUAGAAAGAAACUGUGAAAUGCAAGGAAAUAGUGAGCGUAAAAAAGAAGAAAGAAUCAACAAGACACCACACCAGUUGAGUUGAUUGAAAAUGGGUAUUUCACCUACAACUCAAAGAUCUGCAACCGACUUUUCAAUUCAAAAACCUUUUUGGUACAUAAUAUGCUUUCGUUUAUGGCAUAGUACAAGUGCUUUCUUGCUUGAAAGGGGUAGGUAAGUUGGUUGAAAGGGUAUUUUGGGUAAUUUAACAGCAGUAACGAUUCAAUACCACUACUGCCACCCGCCAUCAUAUUAGAUGCCAAGUUGGAGAAAACUCAAAAAGAUAAGAAUUUAAAUAUUUUUAUUUUCUUAAAAUUCAAAAAUAUUAUAUAUUCUACUACAAUUAAAAAAAAAUAAUUAAAUUAAGUAAAAUUUUGUCCAUACAAUAAUGGCUUUCGGUGUUUUAACUAUAUAUUUUAUUUAUUUAUAUUAUUUAAUAACAUAAUAUUUAUAUUAAUAUUUAUAAACCAGAGAAAUACGUAAAAAAAGAUUUUUUUUUUUUGUGUGUUUCAGGGGACCACACCAGGAAAUAGCUUUUAGCUGGAGCCUGAAGCUUAUGAUUUUGCCACUGUGCUUGUCGGUGGAGAAUGGAGCUGAGGAGGAGCUUUUCCAUUGACCAAUGAUCUUCAAUUAGGUUUAUCCUGGUUGAUCUCACUCCCAAACCAUUUCCGAAUAUAAAAUUUUAAUUAUUUAUAUUUGAAUCUUUUUCUCUUAUAAAAAAAAUUAUAUUAUAUUUAUAUUAUGAUAUUAAUUAAUGAUGAAUUAAUUUAGUAAUUUAGUAAAAAAAAAUUAAUAUUAAAAUAAAUUAAGUCAGUGUAAUAAAUUAAUAAAUCCAGGAAAUUUUAUUUUGGAUUAAAAAAAUGGGAUAAGAUGUAGGAAACUUCGAGGGAUGCUUAAAAUUGCAGAAAGGGAAGGCAGAAAGAGAUCCUUAGCUUUCAAUGCUGGUUGUCAUUUGAUUAUCAAUGGGCUCCACCGGCAUGUCCUACAGCUGGGCACAGUGCAUACCUCGCUUUCGCUGCCUGUUCACCAAUAACUUACUGCCAUCUAAGAAUGGAAUACGAUGCCAUGUGGGGCCUGCAUCUUACCUGCAUAUCACUGUCAUACACAACAAAUACUAUAUUUUCCUAUCUUAUGCUUUAUCAAAGGCAGCCAUAGGAGGUUGAUGAUAGACACAGCUCAGCAGCAUCUCACCCUCUUGUAGUCUUUAGCCAGCCCAAAGACUCCAGAGUUGCCAACCAUGGCGUCUUCAACCAAGCCAAGUUAACUACACUACAUUGUUGAAACACAAUGUAGGUUUCCAGAAGUCCACAAGCAAAAACUAUUUACACCUCGGAGGUGGUAGGGAAAAACCCACAAUCCAAGUUGGAAGGAAUCCCUCUCAACUCCAAAGGGGCAGGAGAGGCAGCAGAAGUGGAGGACUGAGCCCCGAGUAAGCAAGAGCCAAGAGAAAACAGUUUCUCUCUCUCACUAGAACCUUUUAAGUGAUCCAGUUGUGC